GGUUUCAUCGUAUAACGGUUAGUACAUAAGAUUCUGACCUGAGAGUUGUUCUUGUAAUCUGGGUUCGAUUCCCAGUGAGACCU
rnacentral:tRNA from 1 species